rnacentral:rRNA from 2 species
AAAACGACUCUCGGCAACGGAUAUCUCGGCUCUCGCAUCGAUGAAGAACGUAGCGAAAUGCGAUACUUGGUGUGAAUUGCAGAAUCCCGUGAACCAUCGAGUCUUUGAACGCAAGUUGCGCCCGAAGCCGUCAGGUCGAAGGGCACGUCUGCCUGGGCGUCACGC